rnacentral:rRNA from 1 species
GCAGAGCACUCCUACGGGAGGCAGCAGUGAGGAAUAUUGGUCAAUGGAGGGAACUCUGAACCAGCCAUCCCGCGUGUAGGAAGACGGCCUUAUGGGUUGUAAACUACUUUUAUACAGGAAGAAACGUACCCUCGUGAGGGUGCCUGACGGUACUGUAGGAAUAAGCACCGGCUAACUCCGUGCCAGCAGCCGCGGUAAUACGGAGGGUGCGAGCGUUAUCCGGAUUUAUGGGUUUAAAGGGUCCGUAGGCGGAUUAAUAAGUCAGUGGUGAAAUCCCAUCGCUUAACGAUGGAACUGCCAUUGAUACUGUUAGUCUUGAAUGAGGGUGCAGUGGUUGGAAUGUGUAGUGUAGCGGUGAAAUGCAUAGAUAUUACACAGAACACCGAUUGCGAAGGCAGAUCACUAACCCUAAAUUGACGCUGAGGGACGAAAGCGUGGGGAGCAAACAGGAUUAGAUACCCUGGUAG